CCUACGGGUGGCAGCAGUGAGGAAUAUUGGUCAAUGGGCGGGAGCCUGAACCAGCCAAGCCGCGUGAGGGAUGAAGGUACAGAGUAUCGUAAACCUCUUUUGUCAGGGAACAAAGGCGGGGACGCGUCCCCGGAUGAGUGUACCUGAAGAAAAAGCAUCGGCUAACUCGGUGCCAGCAGCCGCGGUAAUACGGAGGAUGCGAGCGUUAUCCGGAUUUAUUGGGUUAAAAGGGUGCGCAGGCGGUCUGUUAAGUCAGCGGUCAAAGCCCGGGGCUCAACCCCGGCCCGCCGUUGAAACUGGCAGUCUCGAGUUGGAGAGAGGUAUGCGGAAUGCGAGGUGAAGCGGUGAAAUGCAUAGAUAUCGCGCAGAACUCCGAUUGCGAAGGCAGCAUGCCGGCUCCACACUGACGCUGAGGGACGAAAGCGUGGGUAUCGAACAGGAUUAGAUACCCGGGUAGUC
rnacentral:rRNA from 1 species